rnacentral:rRNA from 1 species
GAUUGAACGCUGGCGGCAGGCCUAACACAUGCAAGUCGAGCGGUAGCACAGAGAGCUUGCUCUCGGGUGACGAGCGGCGGACGGGUGAGUAAUGUCUGGGAAACUGCCUGAUGGAGGGGGAUAACUACUGGAAACGGUAGCUAAUACCGCAUAAUGUCGCAAGACCAAAGUGGGGGACCUUCGGGCCUCAUGCCAUCAGAUGUGCCCAGAUGGGAUUAGCUAGUAGGUGGGGUAACGGCUCACCUAGGCGACGAUCCCUAGCUGGUCUGAGAGGAUGACCAGCCACACUGGAACUGAGACACGGUCCAGACUCCUACGGGAGGCAGCAGUGGGGAAUAUUGCACAAUGGGCGCAAGCCUGAUGCAGCCAUGCCGCGUGUGUGAAGAAGGCCUUCGGGUUGUAAAGCACUUUCAGCGGGGAGGAAGGCGAUAA